rnacentral:lncRNA from 1 species
UUUAGCUAGUCUCAGGGCCAUUAACAAUUCCUACUUCUACACCGACCGUCCCUAAAAUAAGUGACAAAGGAUUUGAUAAUUGAUACCCGAGAUCCAAAUUCGAAUUCUAGUUGAUUCACAUUUCCAGCUAACUUUAUUUUUAAAUGAAAUAAACGAAGCGGAUAGCGUGCUACCUAUUUCUCUAAAAAAAAAAAAAAAAAAAAAAAAAUCCUACUUCUA